AAGCCCGGACGACACAGGGUCGCUCUUCAGUGACUCUGACUUCUGCCGCAUAUUAAACACGAGGAGGCAGGGCACAUGGGCAUCCCAUUAAUUCUCCCUCCCCGUGGAGCUGAAGGGACUGCAGAGAGCCAAAAUUCUCGAUGGUACUGUCAAGAGGCAAGGCCUGGUGGCUCAGUCGAGGUUAAUGUCGGUGUAUUGAAACAUGACCAAAGCAACUUGAGGAGGAAAGGGUUUAUUCAGCUUACACUUCCACAUCAUAAUCCAUCCUCGAAGAACGUCAGGGCAGGAACUCAAGCAGGAGCAGAGGACUUGUCUGGAGUGCUGAAGCAGUACCUAUACCCACUCAGGAUGGGAUGAUGCCCCAGUAAAGCCAUCUAAGUAGAAAAUCUCUUUAAGUCACAAAGGGCUCGCUACUUCUGACCCACCGAACACAUAGCUUGGUCCAGUCUUCCUGGGCUAGGCUCAGUGUGUUCCAUUCGGUGUCAGUGGGAGCAGUCACCCAGCUGGAAUCCCGUGGUAUAACUCGAUAUUGGAUUCAUCUUGGGGUUUACUGGGUAUUCAGCUGAAGGCAAGGAAGAGAAGCGUCACUCUGGACUUCUAGCCUUGAUAAAGGUAAAAGUCCAAAAACAUUCCAAGUACGGCUGGAAAGACAGUUCAGUUGUUAAAGUACUUGCCACACAAACAUAAGGACCCAACGUUAAUCCCCAGAACCUACAUUUAAACAAAACAAAACAAAACCAAAAGACA